rnacentral:tRNA from 1 species
UCCCUAGUGGCUCAGCUGGUAGAGAAUCUGCUUGCAAUGCAGGAGGCCUGGGUUCAAUUCCUGGGUUGGGAA